rnacentral:lncRNA from 1 species
GUUUAGAAGGAAUCAGUAUACUUUAAUCAAUAGCAGAGGCCAACACACUAUAGCCAAUGAGUCAAAUACAUAUUGCAACCUGCUUAUGUAAUCAAGUUUUAUUGAAACGUGCAAGCUCAUUAGUUUACAUGUUAGCUGUGGUUGCUGUCAUGCUACACCUUGGUGUUGAGUAGUUGUGAUGAAAAUUGUACGGCUCAAAAAGCUGAAAACAUUUAGUACUGGCUCUUUACAGAAACACUUUGCUGAUUCCUGCUCUGUAGGUCUUGACCCUCCCCUUCAAUUCAUUUUUAUCUCAUUUGAAAUGCAAAAUUAUAAGUGUCAUGCAUGCUUUGUAUAUCGUCUGUCUGUAGAAAGAAUGAAACUCCCUACCUGUUUUAAAUAAAAUAAAAUGGCAUCCUCCAAAUUCCAAACUCCAAACUCUUUUGGAAAGAUGUAGAUGACAAGCAGGUAUAAGAAGGAGAAUGGAGACUGCUUGGCUCAGGUUUCACAAAGUAGAAGUAAUUUGCAAAGAUUAUUACCUCAGGUCCGCAACUUCCUAUGUCCUUGGCUUUUUCACUGUACUCAAAGAUGAUCAAGCUGGAGAACUAGCUCAUAUCUAACUCAACUUCUUGCUAGCACGAUAAUCUACAAUAACACUGAGAAAAUUUUAACAUGUAAUUAGAAUUGAAGUGUAUUUCUAGUACUGCUCUAAGUACUUUACACAUAUUAAUUAAUUAAUUCUCAUGCAUACUGUUAUUAACUCUAAAGAUGUGGAAACUUCCAAUAAUUAGCCACUGAAUAUGAUAAAAAGAAAAACACGGAGACUAAGGCAUAGAAAACUUAGUGGAAGUCCCAGGCCAACCAAAAAUUUAUGUCAGCUUACCAUUGCAUUCUCACCACUGGUAGAAAAUUUACAUGGGGAUUCAGUUAUUUUGAUCAAGAAGUUGCCAGAUGACCAUGGAGCAAGAGGGAUGUAAUUAAGUAGAUUUUCUUUAUCAUGGAGUAGAUCAAGACAUAACAGGAUAAUCUACAAUCCAUUCCAUCAAUAGACAUAAAUGUGCCAACUGGAGAUCCAAGUUUGCCCAUCAAAGAACCCUCUAGUCUGGGUUAUGCUGAAGCUACACUGACAUCAUUUCCUUACCCCUUGGCUCCCUGUAUAAACCCAUGUGGUGAUUUUCCUCUUUCUUCAAACUGAGUAAAAUAAAAUGAUUGGGAUUCAAGUUGCAUUUUCUAGUCUUCUUGCUUCUGUAGGCUUUUGCUCAAGCCAUUUUACUUAAACCUGGGUAUUUCCAAAUCUGCUUAGCUUCAUGUUUUACAAAAUCUCUCUGGCACUUCAGCAGAUGACUAGUAUCUUCCUGUCUGUGUUUCUUCUUGCUUAUUUCACUCUCAGUGGAUAAACUACUUUCCAUAUUCUUUAGAAGCACUUGACAUUACCUCGACCUACCCACUAAACUUUUGUGAAGACCAAUGGUGUUAGAAUGAUUUUUAAAGGUAAUUUAUGUAACUUUUGAGUCCAUAAUAUUGCAUACCAGCAUAGCCAGAAUUGAAUUUUUUUUUAAUCUACUCCAGAAGAAAAAGCAAGAGUUACUUUAAAAGGUCAUAGUUACUCCGAAGUCUCAGUGCCAAAUUUUCAAGACAGAACAGAUCAAGGAUGCAGAAAGACCACUUGUUUCGCCAGUGUUGGUGGGCACCUGACAGAGAAGAUUUCCAUCUCCAUGUCUAUCAAAUCUCCCCGUCUUCAGCAGGUGUAGCUGACAAUGAAAACCAGGGGACUGUGCUAGCACCACAUGGCUACCCAUAUGGAUACAAGCAACAUUGUGUAAUCAUUUCUGCUUUUCUAUUUUACUUUUUUCCUAGGCAUGAAAUGGCAAUCCAGAAGGGGAAUAUGAGAAGUGAGCUUAGGAGUUCAGCCUUAAUAAUAGGGUCAAAUGACUUUAGAAUAAAAAUCAGCCAAUGAGAAAUUAAAUAUGGUACUUAUUACUAAGAAGCAUUUUAGGAAGACUUAAGUUAUGUGCUGUAACAAGCAGUAAAGUGACAUAUUCUCCCACCUCAACUGCUACCCACGGAUAUAGUGCCUUACUAUAUUGUGAAAAUGAUGUCUGGGGUAUCAUGAAAAAGGAUCUAGGUUCCAUGUUUAAGUCUAUGUGGGAUAGAGAAAAAAAAAGUCAAAGGAAGUAAAAUAAGCAUGAGACUGAGAGAGCAGGAAAUAAGAGUGAGAAUGGUCCAAACAUGAGAAUAUAAGGUCCGUGGAUUCACAGGAAUCUUGGAAAACAUCAGUGGAACUUUCCACACAUGAUAGGACGGGUUCUGAGCCAAUCUUAUUUAGAUUGCAAAUUCAAUACUGUGUUACAAAUAGAACAAUACUCCAUGAAAAUUAGGCAGUGGUUUACCAAGGUAAGCAGGAGGACUUUUAAUUUGGAUGUGGAAGAAAAUAAUCUUUUCUGAACUUACGUGGACAUCCCUGAUACUCUUCUGUAUGCCCCACCUUGUUCUUGACCCCUGUCUUUGUGUAUUGGGAUGGAUUGAUUCCACAUACGGGGGUUCUUUUUAAUGACAUAAAGAAAAUUCUUUACCAUUGUGUCUUCAUAUGCUCAAAGCUCACUUUUAGUAGAAAUGUUUUCUAUUGAUUUUUAUGGACACUUGCACCCUCCAAUAUUUUGCAAAAUAUUGAUUGCGUUACUUAAUAUUCCUAAGAAUGCCUAAUUUUUGUUAGCUUUUCCCUAAAGAUUGCUAGCAAUCUUUGUCUUGACUUUCUAUACUUCUACCUUGCUGCAAAAAACAAAAGCAAAACAACAAAAAAACCCUUCAUUUCUUAAUUAGAGCGCAAAACAUGUACAAAUCCUACCAUUGUCCCCUCUGAUCUACCCCCAUAGAAGUGUGAAUGCCAUGAUGCUUCCUGUGUUAAAUCUUUAAGUGCCGUUCCUCCAUCAAAGUUGCAACAGAAAUGGCCACUUCCUUUUACUCAGACUUUUUAAAA